rnacentral:rRNA from 1 species
GACGAACGCUGGCGGCGUGCCUAACACAUGCAAGUCGAGCGGAGAUGAUGUGAGGAAGUUUUCGGAUGGAAUCACAUUAUUUUAGCGGCGGACGGGUGAGUAACGCGUGAGCGACCAACCUUGCACAGGGGGAUAACGGACCGAAAGGUUCACUAAUACCGCAUGAGACCACGGUGUUGCAUGACACAGAGGUCAAAGGAGCAAUCCGGUGCAAGACGGGCUCGCGUCCGAUUAGGUAGUUGGAGGGGUAACGGCCCACCAAGCCUAUGAUCGGUAGCCGACCUGAGAGGGUGAUCGGCCACAUUGGAACUGAGAUACGGUCCAAACUCCUACGGGAGGCAGCAGUGGGGAAUAUUGGGCAAUGGGGGAAACCCUGACCCAGCAACGCCGCGUGAAGGAAGAAGGUUUUUGGAUUGUAAACUUCUGUCCUUGGUGAGGAGAAGAAGACGGUAGCCAAGGAGGAAGCCCCGGCUAACUACGUGCCAGCCGCCGCCGUAA